UACGUAGGUGGCAAGCGUUAUCCGGAUUUAUUGGGUGUAAAGGGCGUGUAGGCGGGAGCGCAAGUCAGAUGUGAAAACUCAGGGCUCAACCCUGAGCCUGCAUUUGAAACUGUGUUUCUUGAGUGCUGGAGAGGCAAUCGGAAUUCCGUGUGUAGCGGUGAAAUGCGUAGAUAUCACGAAGAACUCCGAUUGCGAAGGCAGCUCACUGGACUGCAACUGACACUGAGGCUCGAAAGUGUGGGUAUCAAACAGG
rnacentral:rRNA from 1 species